rnacentral:rRNA from 1 species
AAUCAACGCUGGCGGCGUGCCUAACACAUGCAAGUCGAACGCGAAAGUCCCGCAAGGGAUAAGUAGAGUGGCAAACGGGUGAGUAACACGUGGGUGACCUGCCUUCGAGUGGGGGAUAACGUCCCGAAAGGGACGCUAAUACCGCAUGACAUCCUGCCUUUGAACAGGCGGAGAUCAAAGCUGGGGAUCGCAAGACCUAGCGCUUAAAGAGGGGCCCGCGUCUGAUUAGCAGUUGGUGAGGUAACGGCUCACCAAGGCGACGAUCAGUAUCCGGCCUGAGAGGGCGGACGGACACACUGGGACUGAGACACGGCCCAGACUCCUACGGGAGGCAGCAGUGGGAAUUGUUCGCAAUGGGCGCAAGCCUGACGACGCAACGCCGCGUGGAGGAUGAAGACC